GGGUGGCUCAGCGGUACAGCAUCUGCUUGCCAUGCAAAAGUCACGAAGUUCAAUUCCUCGGCAGCAUCA
rnacentral:tRNA from 1 species